UUAACAGUGUCUUACGAGGAGCUAGAAAUAUGCCAAUUACAGCUUGUAUUCCAAUGACAUUUUACCGUCUCGUGAAAUACUUUAAUAUGAGAUAUGUCCAAGUCUUAAGAUAUGUACAAAAGAAUCCAAAUAAUCUUUUUACUCCUCAUAUUACUAUUAAGAUUUCUGAAGAUCAAGUUAAAGCUAAUCAGCAUCGAGUAAUAACGUUCAACCUUCAAAGAGGCAUAUAUGAAGUGCUUAUGAGAAGAGCAAGCACAGGAUUAUGAGGUGGAGAAAAUUUUUAUACUAUUACUUUAACUGAAAGAAACUAUUCUUGUAGAAAGUAGAGCAUGU
rnacentral:lncRNA from 1 species